ensembl:lncRNA novel transcript
GGGGAGCCUCUGUUAGCCCUUGGCUUCUGUAACAGGCAAACUGAGGCCAGCCCCUCUUGAAGGCAGUCCUUGAACUCUGCCCUAGGUGGGAUGGUUGCCUCAUUACCAGUCAAGUAAUGUUGCACCUCAGAGUAUUUGUGCAAUACAGCCACUUCCCACAAACUUCGGAUUUCAAAGUGCUUUGUAGGCUCCUGGAGAGAUAGAGUAGCGGAUUGGGAGUGAGACUCCAACAGGGGAAGAAACUUGGCCAAGCUGUGUGUGGAGACAGGAAUUAAGCCUCGUUUCCUCUAGAUCAGAGAGAUGGCUUCUGGAUUCUUCUUUCCCUGCAAUCCAGCUUCUUCUCCUGGGGCCCUCAUACUGCAGACUGGGAUCAUCAUCCAGGCUUUUGCACUGGGCCAGGAAUUUGGGAGUCAUCCUGGAUCCGUCUGCCCCUGUCAACCUUUCUCUGUCAACAGAUAUUUAUUGGGCAUCUUCAACAGCCAGGCCCUGUUCAUGGUGCUGAAGAACAGCAUGUAUAAAACAACCCUGCCCUCACAGGGCGAUCACCAGUGACCUGUGGUGUGGAGUCUCCUUUUACCUCUGUCUCCUCCUUCCCAUUGUCACCAUCUUUGGUCCUCCUCUGUCAUCUGGAAUACUCCACUUGGUAACCAGCAUGAUCUUAUAACGCUAGUUUUACCCUUGUCAGCACUUUGCCGAAAACCUCAAAUAAAGACUUUUUAAAAAA